rnacentral:rRNA from 1 species
GUGUCAGCAGCCGCGGUAAUACAGAGGGGGCAAGCGUUGUUCGGAAUUACUGGGCGUAAAGGGCGCGUAGGCGGCCUGCUAAGUCGAACGUGAAAUCCCCGGGCUCAACCCGGGAACUGCGUCCGAUACUGGCGGGCUUGAAUUCGGGAGAGGGAUGUGGAAUUCCAGGUGUAGCGGUGAAAUGCGUAGAUAUCUGGAGGAACACCGGUGGCGAAGGCGGCAUCCUGGACCGAUAUUGACGCUGAUGCGCGAAAGCCAGGGGAGCAAACGGGAUUAGAAACCCCAGUAGUCC